GAAAGAUAUUUUCGUCCCAAAGUUUGGGACGAAAACUGCUUUCCUCCCAAAAUUUGGGACAAACUCUCUUUUCGUCCCAAAAUUUAGGACUUAUCCCUAAUAUCCCCACCUACCCGAUACCUAAUUCUCUCCCCUCGCAGCCUCCUCGAUCGCGCGUUCUUCUUCUCUUCGAUCUCCCCUCCCUGGGGACGGCGGUGACGAAGGAGACGACGACGACGAAGGUGACAAAGCGUAAGCUCCCCCUCUCCUCUCUCUUUUCUCCUCCUCAACAGCGGCCAGUCGUGGGUGCCCUCGGUCGGUCCUGCUUGUCGUGUCCGCCCCUGGUGGCCAAGCGUGGCCACGUCCGACCCCUGGUGACCGCGUCCGACCCCUGGUGACCGCGUCCGGCCGCUAGUGGCCGCGACCGGCCCUUGGUGGCCGCGUCCGGCCCCUGAUGGCCGCGCCCGACCCCUGGUGGCUGCGUCCGCCCCCUGGUAGUGGAUCACUCGCUUGAUCCGACGCAUGUGCUUGACUUCGUAGUGCUUCUGGGAUGUAUUUACAUUUCUCCCUUGUUUUUUUUCGUCUGUGUUUGGUGUUGAGAUGUGCCUGUGCUUUUUGUAGUUGUGACAUCGAAUGAGUUUUAGUUUGCAGCUGAAUUUACUUGUGUCAAGCUGGCCAUCGUGAGGAGGGCUGCUGGUCCAGGAUCUCAUUUUCCUGUGAUCUUAAUGUGUUUGGAGAUACUCUUUUUUCGUCACCUGUUUUAGCCUUUUGAGCAUGCAAGCAUUAUUAUCACCCUUCCUGAACACGAGAAGAGGCAGUAUUGAAGUGUGUUUAAUGGAGUCUUGGAAAUUAUCUAAAAGGUAAAGAAUUCUACAUCUAUGCAUCCUUUUGAGCAUAUGAGCAUCAUUACCACCCCUUCCUAUAUACUAGAUAAGGCAGCAUUCAAGUGUCCUUUAUGGAUACUUGAAAAUGGUCCUAUUAUUUGUUUUCAUUAACUGCUUACGUAGUUGCUUCAAAAAAACAUGCCACUUCCUUAUUGGAGUGCAUCAUAGAUCUCCAAAAUAUGUUUUCUUUAAUCAAAUACAAUUUUUUUUUACUUUAAGGUAAAAAGAUAUAUUAGAUCCUCUUUAGCAAUUGACAAUGGAAUUAUUAGUUCUAUAUCCACAAAAAAAAAUAAGAUGGCGAAGAUAGUUUGUAGAAAAAUAAAAUGAGUUGAUGUAUGUAUUGUUCAUUUUGAAAAAACUUAUAUAAUUUUUAGGAGGUGUUGAACUUAUAUUAUUUUUUGGAGUAUUGGACUUGUAUAAGUUCUUAGAGUCUUGAAGAAGAAAGUUUUUGUAUAACUUUUUGAGAACUUUGGAAUUUAUUAUUGUAAAAUUGAUUUCAAAUAUUAAUAGAUGUGUAUAUAUGUUAAAUAGGA